rnacentral:sRNA from 1 species
AUAAGAACCAAAACAUCCACAGCUUUUGUUCCAUCAUCACUUG